UCGGAACAAGAUAUCUGCCUGUCUUAGAAUAUGUCAACAUUUCCGUUUUCAGUUGGUGACAGUCACCUUAAUAGUUAUGGUUGAGGUCAACAGGUCUCCUUUGUGACUAAGCUAGUUGUUUAAGAUUUCAUUUAUAUAUAAAUAUAUAGUUUGGAAUGAUGAAAACCAUUGGCAUCAUUGGAGCAGGGGCAGCUGGUCUGUGUGGUGCACGCCAUGCCUUGGCAGCAGCUGGAAUGACACCCAUUGUUUGGGAGCAGUCUACCAAAGUUGGUGGAACUUGGGUGUAUACUCCAGAGUUGGGCAAAGACAAGUAUGGGCUGCCCAUUCACUCCAGCAUGUACAAAAACUUGAAGACAAACCUGCCAAAGGAAACAAUGGCAUUUCCAGAUUUUCCCUUUCCUGAUGGCGAAGAAUCUUUUAUUCAUCACACAGAAGUUCUCAAGUACUUGGAAAGUUAUUGUGACCAUUUCAACAUUAAGCCUUAU